UCCACGGAGGUGGCACCCGUGGCUGCGGCGGCGGCCAGGAAGGUGGCUGAACGGUGGUGCUUGGCGGUUUACGGUGCAGGCUGUCGGUUGUGCGGGGAAUUGGAGUCUGAUAUGGCCGUCGCCGCCGCUGUCGAGGCUAGCCUGCGGCCGGCCUGGCCGUCAUAUUUGGUGCCCCCUGUUAACAUCUGGAGAGGCCAUUUAUGGAGAGUCCUGGGCUCUGUUGGAGGGGCGGGCGUUUCCUCCUUGCUCGGGAUGGGCUUCCCCCGCACUUGCCUUGUGCGUGUCCACUAGGCAGCCAUGGCGGCGAUGUUGCCUGGCUCCUCUUAGCUCCCUAUAACCAUUGCCUUCUGCUGAGAUCUUGAGACUCAAUUGUUGCUUUGCCUUUGCCCUCUGUCGGUUUGUCUUCUGCUGAUCUUGGGUUUCCCUGUGUUGUUCUAGGUGGAUGUGAAGGGAGGAGGAACCUGCCGUUUAAGAUGGCCAGUGCUUGGCGCUAGCAAGGAUCUGGAGUUCUCGACCUUCGCUGCCGCGUCCUUGCAUCCACUGCAAAACCAGCAACGGCGUUAUCCGCCAGCCGGCGCGUCUCUGCCUCUGCUGCCAAAUUUGGGCGGCGCAAGGAGCAGGGAAGAUCCGGGGCGACCACCACGGUGGGGCGCUACGUCCGUGAAGGCAGGACGAGCAGCAUCAGCAGACCUUGGAGACGACAAAGGGAAGGUCUCUCCCAUCUCAUAUGCGCCGCCAACCAAUGUCCUCUCUCUGUGCCAUCCCCAAAUUUUUGGAAAGGGACACCAGAAGAGCAGUCAUGGAUACAACCUUGGUGAAGGAUCUGUCACCUCGAGGGUUUCAAUGGAAGAACAUUGUGUGUGUCGCUCGAAUCUGGGAACAUAGGUAUCAAGCAACCUGGCAAAAUUUGUUUGAGGUGGACUUCAUUGUCACUGACCAAGAGGGCAACAAAAUGGAAGGCUGCAUCCCAGCCAAUCGAAUUGACCAGUUCAGAUAUAAAAUAAACUAAGGUUUGAUACACAGGUUCCAGACGUUUAUUGUUGCUGCUGCGCGGAGCAAAUACAGGGCAACAUAUCAUCCAUAUAGAAUCAAAGCUACCCAACGCAAAGGUUAUAGAUUUGAUUCCUCAGCCAGUCAGCCUGAAAACUUUCCUCUGUUCGCAUGUAAAGCAACGUUAUUUGAUGAUCUGCAGUCAUGCAGAGGGGACACUACCAUUCUGCCAGGUUAUCAAUGAAUAGUACAUGUAAGUAGUUUGCUCCGAAACAUCUAGGACUGCAAAAUAUUUUUUUUCUUUCACACAAUUUUCUGCAUCAACUACUUAACCAGUAAGUGUUUUCUAUCUUUCUCCCUUUCUUUGGUCAAAGAAGUGACAUUGUUGUUUGCUUCAGUUAGCUAGAUAAGAGACUAUUUUUCCACGACAAGUGGUGGAAAUAUUUCCCCUCUUUUCGGGAGAAAUAAAGUUGAGACGUCAUUGAGUGGUUAUUUUAUGGUUGCAUCCAAGGUCUGAAAGUUAUUAUAUUAGCUUGGGAGCAUGAAUUGUUGAUUUGCAGGAGUAGAAAUGUAGUCAGCUCUACUCCACAUUAUGUAUUCUUUGCUCUUAGAUAAGGGAUAGAUAAUUGCUCCAUUCCUUAUUCUGACUUCUGAGAAAUUCAUUCUUUUACUCCACGCCAUGGUGAUAUGUUUCUUAGUGGCUAAUGAAAGGAUACAUAAUUGCUCCAUUUCUUAUUCUGAAUUCUGAGAAGUUCAUUCUUUACCCCACACUGUGGCAAUAUGUUUCUUACUGGCUAAUGUUGUCAUAGACAAGAAUUGUUUAAUUAGUUGACAAAUUAAUCUGAGAACCUUCCACUUCCAUUGUUUUAUGUUCGACAAGGAGCACAUGGAGAAAUAUAGAUCUGUGAGUUAGCACGUGCAGCUGAAAUCAAGAGAAGCUAAUGGCUGAAUAUCAAAUCAAAUAUCAGCAUGGUUCGUUACAAAGAGUGUAAAUAUUUUCUUUCCUUUUUUUACGAAAAGGAAUUCAGUUGCUUACGGCCAAAUCUACAUAACUGGGAGCCGAAGGCCAGUUUGAAUUUUCUUCAGGACUACGAGAGCAUCAUAUUGUUUCUUGGGAAUUCAUCAUGAUUUGGUCAUAUAUAUUCUUUGGUCUCAGCUCUAAAAUGUCACUGACUUCUGUAACUGCUAGUGAAUAUGCAAAGUGCAUGAUUGGUGCUACCGUCAGAUUCAUGUUUAUGUUGCCGAGCGCUACCUACGACUCCUGAGCUUGGCUAUUAAUAUCUUAGAUAUAAUCUUUGCUUUUGCCCAAAACAACAUUAUUUAUCAGUGCUGCUACUCAAUUCUAGACUGCUCUCCAAAACUAUAUUAUUUGGUGGUGCUGCUUCAGAAUGUGAACCCACGGGCGCGGCGUGCCGCCGCGCCAAAACUUCCUAGU